AUCAACAUCAAAACCAUAUAUUUUCAAAUUGAGAAAUUGAAAUGGCUCAUAGAAACAAGUUUUUGGUCACAUUUGUGAAAUGUGUCAUCAACCACUAAGGCAUAUCAUGGAAAACCUAAUGAGAAAAUUUAUAUAAAUUGUCACUUUUCUAAAUGAAGCAAAGAUUUUGACAUCUCAACCAUUCUAAUAUCUACCUAGCUAGCUAUCAUAACCCCCUCCUUCCCUUCUAUUACAUUAAUUGAUCUCAUUAUUCAGAAGCUGCAGAUUUUUUUUUCUUUUCUUAUUCUGAGCUCGAUCACCUUCAUCAACAUCAUCGCCAUCAUGAUGACAGAAGAAAAAUGAAUAUCUAUACAUACAUGGUUCGAAAGAUAUAGAUGAGGGCAGCGGACAAUUUUAUCAUUUGAUCAUUUCUGCUUUGAUUGAAGAUGUUUGUUUAAGUGGUGGGAAUCCUUUCUAUAGUGUCAUCACAUUGUUUUGAGCCUGAACCUUUCAAUGAUAAAACGAGAUGAUGACUCGAUGAAAAUCUCUUUUCACCGAUCAUUCAAAUGAAGCAUAACAAGUCAAAAUUCAAGAUUCAACUUCCUCUAUUUUUUUUGGUCAUAUCCGGUGUGCCAAGAAAAUAGAACUGGUAAUCCAAUGUAUAAAUCUGUCGUUAAUUUGACUCCAUUUUCAUCCAAAUUCAUAAUUGCCACUGAAUUGCAGGACAUCAUAGUUGUAACAUAAAAAAAAAAAAAAAAAAAA